rnacentral:pre_miRNA from 1 species
AAAAUACUUCCUCCGUCCCAAAAUUCUUGUCUUAGAUUUGUCUAGAUAUGGAUGUAUCUAAUACUAAAACGUGACUUGAUACAUUUGUAUCUAGACAAAUUUAAGAAAAGAAUUUUGGGACGGAGGGAAUACAAA